rnacentral:rRNA from 1 species
GGUUGAUCCUGCCAGUAGUCAUAUGCUUGUCUCAAAGAUUAAGCCAUGCAUGUCUAAGUAUAAGCAACUUGUACAGUGAAACUGCGAAUGGCUCAUUAAAUCAGUUAUCGUUUAUUUGAUAAUCCCUUACUACAUGGAUACCUGUGGUAAUUCUAGAGCUAAUACAUGCUUCAAAGAGUGGCUUUCGUCACUCUGCACUUAUUAGAUAAAAAACCAAUGCCCCUUUGGGGCUCCCUGGUGAUUCAUAAUAAUUUAGCGGACCGCAUUCCCUCGAGGAGGCGGUGGAUCAUUCA